rnacentral:rRNA from 2 species
UUGACCUCGAAUCAGGUAGGGAUACCCGCUGAACUUAAGCAUAUCAAUAAGCGGAGGAAAAGAAACCAACCGGGAUUACCUCAGUAACGGCGAGUGAAGCGGUAACAGCUCAAAUUUGAAAUCUGGCUCCGGCGGAGUCCGAGUUGUAAUUUGUAGAAGAUGCUUUGGGAGGUCGGCUCGGCCUAAGUUCCUUGGAACAGGACAUCAGAGAGGGUGAGAAUCCCGUAUGUGGCCGUGGCCUACGCCCGUGUAAAGCUCUUUUGACGAGUCGAGUUGUUUGGGAAUGCAGCUCAAAAUGGGUGGUAAAUUUCAUCUAAAGCUAAAUAUUGGCCAGAGACCGAUAGCGCACAAGUAGAGUGAUCGAAAGAUGAAAAGCACUUUGGAAAGAGAGUUAAACAGUACGUGAAAUUGUUGAAAGGGAAGCGCUUGCACCCAGACUUGGGCGUCGUCGAUCAUCCGAGGUUCUCCUCGGGGCACUCGGCGAGGCACAGGCCAGCAUCGGUUUGGAUGGUUGGAGAAAGGCUCUAGGAACGUAGCUCUCUUCGGGGAGUGUUAUAGCCUCGAGCGUAAUGCAGCCCAACCGGACCGAGGACCGCGCCUUCGGGCUAGGAUGCUGGCGUAAUGGUUGCAAGCGACCCGUCUUGAAACACGGACCAAGGAGUCUAACAUCUAUGCGAGUGUUUGGGCGUUAAACCCAUACGCGGAAUGAAAGUGAACGCAGGU